UGACUCAGUCUUUUCACCAACUUUGUCGUCCCAAAACCAAUUAAUCCAAUCUUCUAUUUGUACACAAACGCAUGUAAAAGAAUUUGUAGAAGAUGGUAUGUCACACAUUAUAAAUCCCAUGACUCUGC